rnacentral:tRNA from 2 species
CAAAGAGUAGUUUAGUUUAGAAUACUAGUUUUGGGAAUUAGUGGUGGGGGUUAAAUUCCCUCCUCUUUGA